rnacentral:rRNA from 1 species
CACGUAGGGACCAAGCGUUGUCCGAAUUCAUUGGGCGUAAAGAGCUCGUAGGCGGCUCAGUAAGUCGGGUGUGAAACCUCCAGGCUCAACCUGGAGACGCCACCCGAUACUGCUGUGGCUAGAGUCCAGUAGGGGAGCGUGGAAUUCCUGGUGUAGCGGUGAAAUGCGCAGAUAUCAGGAGGAACACCGGUGGCGAAGGCGGAUCUCUGGGCCGAUACUGACGCUGAGGAGCGAAAGCGUGGGGAGCGAACAGG